UACGGGGGGGUAAGCGUUGUUCGGAAUUACUGGGCGUAAAGGGCUCGUAGGCGGCCAACUAAGUCAGACGUGAAAUCCCUCAGCUUAACUGGGGAACUGCGUCUGAUACUGGAUGGCUUGGAUUCGGGAGAGGAAUGCGGAAUUCCAGGUGUAGCGGUGAAAUGCGUAGAUAUCUGGAGGAACACCGGUGGCGAAGGCGGCAUUCUGGACCGAUAUUGACGCUGAGGAGCGAAAGCCAGGGGAGCAAAGCGGGG
rnacentral:rRNA from 1 species